AUGCCUGUGAUGAAAUUAACAUAAAAAGUUGGAAUUACCGGCUGAUAUAAAUCUAUUUUGAUGAUAGACUCUCUUUCUGAGGCUUUAU